UACAGAGGGUGCAAACGUUGCUCGGAAUUAUUGGGCGUAAAGCGCGUGUAGGCGGCUUGUUAAGUCGGUUGUGAAAACCCAUGGCUCAACCCAUGGAAGUGCGUCCGAAACUGGCAAGCUAGAGUCUUGACGAGGGUGGCGGAAUUCCCAGUGUAGAGGUGAAAUGCGCAGAUAUCAGGAGGAACACCGAUGGCGAAGGCAGGUCUCUGGGGCAUUAACUGACGCUGAGGAGCGAAAGCGUGGGGAGCGAACAGG
rnacentral:rRNA from 1 species